rnacentral:rRNA from 1 species
AGCAGCCGCGGUAAUUCCAGCUCCAAUAGCGUAUAUUAAAGUUGUUGCAGUUAAAAAGCUCGUAGUUGAAUUUCGGGAUUAGUACGUUGGUCGUGCCUUCGGUACGUACUGGUGUUACUGAUUCCUACCUUCUGACGAACCAUCAUGUCAUUAAUUUGGUGUGGUGGGGAAUCAGGACUGUUACUUUGAAAAAAUUAGAGUGUUUAAAGCAGGCUCGCGCUUGAAUACAUUAGCAUGGAAUAAUGAAAUAGGACGUUGACCCUAUUUUGUUGGUUUCUAGGAUUGACGUAAUGAUUAAUAGGGAUAGUUGGGGGCAUUAGUAUUCAAUUGUCAGAGGUGAAAUUCUUGGAUUUAUUGAAGACUAACUACUGCGAAAGCAUUUGCCAAGGAUGUUUUCAUUAAUCAAGAACGAAAGUUAGGGGAUCGAAGACGAUCAGAUACCGUCGUAGUCUUAACCAUAAACUAUGCCGACUAGGGAUCGGAUGAUGUUAAUUUUUUAAUGACUCAUUCGGCGCCUUACG